rnacentral:rRNA from 1 species
GACGAACGCUGGCGGCGUGCUUAACACAUGCAAGUCGAACGGAAAGGCCCUGCUUUUGUGGGGUGCUCGAGUGGCGAACGGGUGAGUAACACGUGAGUAACCUGCCCUUGACUUUGGGAUAACUUCAGGAAACUGGGGCUAAUACCGGAUAGGAGCUCCUGCUGCAUGGUGGGGGUUGGAAAGUUUCGGCGGUUGGGGAUGGACUCGCGGCUUAUCAGCUUGUUGGUGGGGUAGUGGCUUACCAAGGCUUUGACGGGUAGCCGGCCUGAGAGGGUGACCGGCCACAUUGGGACUGGGAUACGACCCGGACUCCUACGGGAGGCAGCGGUGGGGAAUAUUGCACAAUGGGCGGAAGCCUGAUGCAGCAACGCCGCGUGCGGGAUGACGGCCUUCGGGUUGUAAACCGCUUUCGCCUGUGACGAAGCGUGAGUGACGGUAAUGGGUAAAGAAGCACCGGCUAACUACGUG